CAGGAAACUCUCUGGAAAAGCACACCCUAUAAAUGGGGUAGGAUAGGCUUGUUAUUAAACCCUUCCAAUCAGUGCCUACCUAAAAAAGGCAGGAGAAAUCUCUCCAUAAAUGGGGACUUUUUCUUAAUAGGGGCUGUAAUCCUGACCUUUCCUACAAGAUCUUAGGGGUCUUGAAACAUUUUUCCAGUGAAGAUCGAAUUAUACACCUUAAUCAGACACAUGAACUGGAGGCUGGAGAGACUGAGGGGAUGGUCUUGUCUCACAGAUUUCUGAUGCAGUACCUGAAUCCCAUUCUGUAGGUGGAGGACCUUGGUGCUUUACCUGAUCCUUCGAGCACUGGAUUUGGAUCAGGCCCCACUUCUCUGCUUCUCUGCAUUGCAGUGCCAUUUAAUGCUUUACACUGGAAGCUUCCUCCACCAAAAUCCAACCAGAAGUGUUACAGUGACUGAGAGAAAAUGGAUGGAAGAGGGAAAGUGUGAGGCAGCAAGGGUCACCAGGCAUCUCAUUUUCCCAAUAUGUCCACUCUUUUCUUUUCAAAGCACAUGUUGAGUGAGGCUGAGGAAGCAAUUGGCAGCACAUUCACAGCAUCUUGGUCCUCUGUGUAUGUGUCUCCUGCAAGGAUCUCAGUCUGGUGUGUGUACUGAAAUUGUGUCAAGAGCUACACAGUUACUGCCUGGGGAUUGUGUGCCUGGUCUGCCGGAAGAUUUCAUUUCAAGAGCUCUUGGGCACCUAGGAUCAGCUGUAAGGAAGGGGAUGAAAUGCUUGGUGGUCAGGCUUAGCCCUGCAGGGCAUCUCUCUGGACAUGAGAGUGCAGAGAGCAGCAGUGCUCCUGCUUCCUCUGGUCCUUUCCUGCUCCAAGGCCAGUGCACGCCCCCAGUGCCCACAAGAGCUGAGAUUCACAUGGUGGUGUCUGAAACAUGUUUCCUCUUGUGAAAGGCUGACAAGUGUACAUGAAAGCAUUUCAUCAAGUUAUCAAAUAACAUUUUGUUCUUGUCUCCAUAUGAUGAGCAUAGUUUGGCAGUCCAGGCUCUUACAUAUGUAAUAUAGAUUAUAGAUGCAGGAGCUCUCAAUGCAUUGUUUUUCUUGCAUUAACCUUUUCUGUUUCCCCUUGUGCCCGUGUGAACUUCUGUCAUUCAUGUCCUGUGGUAAGUAGCUGAGUUUAGCUAAGCUGUGUUAAAAAGAACGUAUGCUUUGGGUCGGUUUGAACCUGUCAUCUAGCUUUGCCUGCUGUCCCACAUCCCAAAAUAUCCACACAGUCAACACCAGGCCCCUGGUAACCAGAGAGGUACUGACAAAUCUGGGAAGUUUUCGGAAGAAAGUGACAGAAUUCUUCAGGAGAGGUGGAAGCACAGGUAGACGAGUUCAAAUAUAAACUGAUGCAGAGCCCAGCUCGGGAAUGACUAACAAAUGUGUGGUUUGUGAGACAUGCAGAGCUCUGAUGAGCACGAACAACCUCCCACUCUCCUGAGCAUGAGAGCAGAAUUCUUGGUGUGACACGCAGGGAUAUAACAAGGGCUAAUAGUGUGACAGGCAGACUGAAAGUAAGGUAAAAUUUCCUGACAGUGAGAUGUAUUUUGCUGUGAAACAGCCUCCCAAGGGAAAGGCAGGAGCCCAACUGCUUUGUCUUUUUUAAAGCCAAACUGGACAAAGCAUUAGGAAAGGUAAUUCACGGAGCAAGUGUAAAAUAGCUGGAGUGGCGAACUAAUAGAUCCUUUCCAUUUCUAGCUCCUAGGAUAUAGUGCUAUCUGUAAUGAAUUUUUGACUGGUUUUUAGCUUAGGGAGUAACAGGGAGAUAACACUGAGCAAAAAUAUUAACAAUAAGAACUAAAAGAAACAAAUUGUAGAGUUUGUCUGAUAGUCACGGAAAGUGCCAGAUUGAGAGUUCCUUAGGUUAAUGGCACUAUUCAAAAAUAGCUUUGCAAAUGGGAAAGUGAAAAUUGUUACAUAGGUAAUUAUUGUGGUAAUGACAUAUUUUUAAAGAGUCCUAGUAGUCCCAAGUAUCCAAGAGCACAUCUCAGAUUUGGGGGUGUUCCCAUUCAUGUAAUGUGGAAUUGCUGUAGCUGAUACUGAAAUGCAGCAACCACUGCACUGAAACAACCAGUUUCAAUGGCAGCAGUUCAAGAUGGGGUAUAAAGUACAACUUCUGUAAAUGAAACUGUAGAAGAAUUGUCUUGGUUUGGCAGAAUUUCAUUAACUGAUUAAUUAUCUAGGCAGGAGUUUCUUUUGCAACUGCCUUUCCCCAUGUCUUUGCUUUUAAAGCAGCAGGAUCUGGCAAUAUUGACCAGGCUUCCCUGGUUCCUUUGGGCGGGCAGGGGGAAGUCUGCCAAACUAGCAUGACCCUGAGCUGAGACACGCUGGACUGGCCUCCCUAUGCAGUUUUUAUCUCCCUCUUGAGUGUCCUGACUUCAGCUUCUAAACUCCCAGAGAACAAGGGAAAUCUAGUUUCUUUUAGCAAAGACAAAAAGGGAGCCCUUUUGGAAAAAUAGGAAAAUGCAAAAUAGUAUGGAACCAGAAUAGGCAGAUUGGAAAAGCUGAAUAAUAUAUUAUUAACUGGUUUUAAUAUUGUAAUUUUAAACUGAAGUGUGUGGGUUGUCAUUCACAUAGGGAGCAACUAUUUUUUCUUUUUUUUUUUUUUUUUUAAUAAGCAAUCAGAAAUCUGAAAGAUAGUGGCCAAAAUACAGAUGUCCUGCAUUGUUUGUUGUUCAUGAAAUUAGACUUUCUUAGACAACAGCCUUGAGGAGUCAGUUGAAAGAGGAAGGAAAUGAGCCAGGCAAGAACUUGCAUGUUGAACAUGUCAUCCUUCUGGAGCCACAUGCUCACCAUGGAACUGACUCACAUGGCAUUAAAAAUUGUUUGUUCUCAUUUACAUGAUCUGCAAGACUGUGUUUAAUGUAGUAUGUGUUAGCUGUACAAUUAAUCAAAUGCUAUCCAUUUGUUAAUGAAAGGGGAAAACAUUCCUGUAUAAAAUGCCAUUGACUACUGAGUAGCUUGGGUACUGAACAGUUUGUCUACCUCUAUAUUUUAUACAAAUUUAGCAAUAUUUAAGAUUUUUUUCAACAGUCACUACAGGUUUAAUUCUUUUGUCUGUUAGCUAUUCAUGCAAAACUCAGUACAAAAUUCCUUUUUAUGUUUGUAUUAUUCAUGGGGGUUGUUUGGAGCUAGAGUUCUCACUUUAUCCAUCAGAAAUUUCAGUGUUUCAUCAAAAAAAAACCAUAACUUCUGGCCUGAGAUAAAAUCCUGCCACUCUCCUGCUUCCAAAACAACAGAGCCAAAAAAAAUAUUUAUUUAUGAACAACUGAUGUGACAGUCUUCAGCUUACAGCUACUGUAAAACUUCGUGAUCUGGGUUUCCCAGGGCUUGCCGGUUCUUAGUGUUAUGGCAGCUGAAAAAAUUAUAACACCAGCAGCUUCCACCAUUUGAGCUGCCAAAAUUGCAACAUUCCUCUGAAGUGGCUUUUUUUUUCCCUGAACGUUCUUAUGUAAAUUUUUUCUCUCUAAAACCUUUCAACUAUUCCCAGGUCUUAGACUGUAAGUCAGUAUUUGACUUUCAGUAGGACAUUUGUUUCUCAACUUCUUUAUUUCAUGAAAGAAUGACUUCUAUUCCUUUUUCAUUAAGGCACCUUAGAAAUCCUACCUUUCUUAGUGAUGCCACAGAAAAUCUCUCAAAGCGUGGGUGGUUCAGCUGCUGUUACCUGAUGCAACCCUCAGUCUGGGUGCACUGUCUUGCUUUAGGGAAAGGAUGGCUCCUGGCAAGAGGCUGUGGAUCCCAUCCCUCUGUUUGCUUGUUGGCUGCUGGUAUGAGGAGGCUGGAAAAGGAUGGAAAGGGAUGUGAUGCAAGGCAUCUCUCAGAAAAGCUGUGGCAUGAAUGAAUCAGAGAACAUUGCUUCCUACUUAAGUGCUAAAUUCCUAUUAGAUACAGGAGGAAUGUAAUUCCAAAAUCCAGGCACAGAACAGAUGUUAAUUGGUCAGGAAAGUAUAAGUACCAUAAAUAAUUGUGUGAUUGACUGAAAGGGGAGCUGGGAAUCUCCUUUUUAUUCCCUGCAGGGGCACUGACCAGAGAGACCAUGAAGAACUCACAUCCCCUCAGUUCUCCAGCCUGUAAAGUGGGAAUGAUAAUGCCAGCUUUCCUUUGCCAUGUGCUUUGAGACUUCCAGAGGUAACACUGCACAGUCCACUGCAUUAAUGUGGGUAUUUAACAAUGUUUGAGCUGACAUCAGGGCACACCCCAGGCGUGCAGGGACCACCCAGGGUAGCUGAUGUGGCACAGUGAGAAGGGCCACUCCAAAACCAUCCCCGAACUCCAGCUGGUUGCCAUGGUGGCAGGACCGCUGAGUGCGGCAAGGCAAGGGGAGAGUGAUAAAUGCUGCUCAGGAUAACUUACAGCAUCAAGGCUGCACUUGGAAAUAGCUCUGGUUUUGUGGGUCUGGGCUUGCAGGAGACAUUGCUGAGCUUUGGGAUUUCCUCUUCUCCAGCUCACCUACAGUGAACAAUAUGAGCCAAAAAGUAGAGAACUGUCACCUUGUUCUUCUAAGUUCUUCUGAGCCUUCUGAUGUUUACAUUUUUGUAAUGGAGUUUCUCACACACUUUUAUGUAAAUAAUGAUUGGUUUGCAUUCCUUUCUAGAAGAUGAGAAAUUUGAUGGACUGUUGGUUUAACCAGUGUAGCUGGAGAGGUGGUAAGUUCAUCCUCCAAUCCAUGGUCACUUUUGGAAGUCUAUAAAUAUUAAAGUCAGACAUAAACUUCACUUUGUUACCUUAGACAUUUCAGCAUGUGCGUGUUGUUCAUUUCUUGUCCUAUUGUGACAGAGAAUCACUGUGGAGAGAGAGAUUCAGACUUUCCCUUGGCCUUUUGGUGAUGGAGUGGGUGGGAGAGGAAUCUGCAUCUCUGAAGCCCUUCUGCAAGGACUUGGUGUUGAAAGCUGGUGAAUACCAUCUGCUGGCCUGCUUUCUACUCAUCGUUUCAUACGUGCUGCUGCCUGGUACUCCUUUAGUCCCUGGGUCAGUGACAUUCCUAGCACAAGGACUUUUCCUCCAGCCAGCCCCAGAGGCACCAGUCCCCCUCAGAGCCUAGAGCAGGAUCAAGAAGGAUGCCCUCCUCAUUCAGGUUGUGUGACUGGGAUCUUGAGAGCACUGAAUGGUCUGCGGGCAGGGAGAGAGCUGGUGGGAGGCAGAUGCUAAAAAUUGCCUCAAGAGAAAUUGGAAGGUGUCAGAAAGGUCAUUUUGGAAAUGGGGAAAGGACCGAGGGGUUAGAGGGUGGCAUGUUAAGUGACAUGAACUUCCUUGCUCUCUGCUGCUAAUAUUUUAGAGUUUGGAGGAAAAACUGGCAAGAACUUUUCUGCUGAUGAAGCAACAUACAAAUGGACAUAGUUGCAAGUUAGGGAUCAUAGAUUUUACAAAGGAAAUAAUGAAAAGUGCCUUGUGAGCCACAUGUACUGGUGAAAAUUUGACUGAGUUUCUGAAGAUGAGAGGAAGCAGACAGGGGCCUAGGAAAUAUCUUUAAAAGCUAGGGAAAGCAUAGGGAAACUGGUUUUAAGAAAAACAAGAUAAAAUGGCAAUUGCAUCUAAGCCCACGCAGGCACUUACUCUCUUGCUUUCUCUCUUACACCCACACACUCAAGCACAUCUUUCUGUCCGAAAUAGUAGAGAAAAGAUAUCAUAGCCUUUAUUGUCAAGAGUAAUUUCUCUUCUCAUGUUACUAACAACAAAUUCUCAGAGCAAGGAGAUAGAUACUUCACAAAACUCCUCUGCCUGCUCUUUUCCCCUUUCUAAACCUGAAAAAAACAAGGAAGAAAGCCCCUGUGAGCUGUGGAGUUGAGGAGCUACAUGUUGACAGCUCUUGGAUGGCUGAAGGCCAAGCACAAGUAUUUGUGUGCCAGUAGCACCACGGGAGGCAGCCGGGUGAUUGCGUGGGGAACUCGGGCUCGCUUUUCCUCACAGGAAUGGCUUUGCUUUCGGGGCUGUCAGGGAACAUGGCUGCAUGAGCUUUCACUCCCAAAAUGCUUGGCAAACUGGGGGGUUUCCCACACGUCAUGUCCAGCGUUGCUGAAAAAUCACCAGCUGGCUGCUCAGGAGUAGGGCGCUCCUCAAGAGGAUGCCUUUUGGUUGCACAGGGGUUUUACACAGCAGGAUGAAGAUGGGUGGCUGCCAGCUGGGGUUAAACUCGUGCCACCCCUCUAGGCAGCUCAGAAGGGCUGAGCUCUGGAUGUCUCUGGAGAGACAGGGCCAUCGUGUGCUCAGACAAGGUCAGCAUCAUCUCCCUGGGUUACAGGAACAAAAGCUUGAGCCCACCCUAAGCAUGCUCGGACUCUCCCUUUCCAGGGAUGAUCUUUUAACAGGGAUUCACACAUAGGAGACACUUGGAGAUUCACUCAGAGGACUGAAAGCAAUUUGGAUCUUUGUCCUGUAUUUAACUGACACUGUAAACUUCCCUUCUGAGUAUUGGCAUAGGCCCUCUUGGCUUAGACUGGUGUUUGCCUGACUCCAUGAGACUCUCCAUCCCAGCACACAUUGAGUGAAAGACUCCACCAGCUCAUUUACAAAUUAGGCAUGUUCAUAAGAGUCAUGUCGCAGAGAGGAAAAAAAUCCCUGGGCUGAUGUGGAUUCCUCUAUUCUAUACAUUCAUUCAUGGUUGAUGGUUGGGAAAUUAUAGUAUGAGAGGGAAGAUUAUUAUAGUUCCUGACAAGGAAUAGAAUUUGUAAAAGCAGAUUUAAUUUUUAAAAUAAUUUUUAAAGCUUUUUUCAAAAUUGUAUUGUUGUAUUUUAUUUUAUUUUGCAAAAAGUAAAUAAUAAUACCCAAGAAUCCCUCAAUCCUCUUGCAAUGUUCUCUUCUUGCUACAUGAAACUGCCAAAUCUGAAUUGGAAAUACGCAAACAAAAUGUAGGGCUUUUUUAUGAUGCUUGGAAGAAAAUGGAUUUGCAGAGCUUCUCUCUUUAAAUGUGUCAACAUAAAUGACAUCCUAGCAGGUCUUGCAGAUUGCAUGGCAUAGGCAAAUAACUGCUAUUUAUUGCAUGGGCUGUGCAAUUUUUUACCUAGCUAUUUCUGCCACAUGCAGAAUAGAUGAAACAAAUUUUCCUCGCACAUUUAUAUAUACAUUUAUACAUUUAUAUAGUGCCUGUCAAGAGUUGCAUACCGUGGUCUCCACUAAUGCUUAUUUGUGCCAUGAUUCCUUAUCCAGGAUUUAACCCCUCCCAGAGGAAAACUACAUCCCAUCUGUGAUACCUAUUACAAAACAAGCCAGAUUCUGUGCAGUGUUCUGUCAAACAGGUUACAAACGGCAUUUUCCUUCCCUUUGGCCUCCCAAGUCUCCUCUGGAAAGGCAAUCUAAGGCAAGUCUAUCACAGAGUUACACGAGAGACACCUUGCAAUUGACUCUUUCAGGUCUCACAGUCUUUCACAUCCAGCUUGUUUCAAAGGGAUGGCAACAUAAAAGAGAAAAGCAUUUAAAAAGAGAAGAAAAAUAAGUCAAGGGAGGCUCAACAAGGAAAAUCCAGUUCCUUCUGCAUGGAUAUUGGUAAAAACAAUUUAUGUAAGCACAUCACAGUUAAUUUGUUUGAGGCUUUUCAUAUUAAGGAAAAAAAAUUAAACUAUUUCUCUAUCACUUCCUUCUUGCUAUGUGUAUUUCCAAGCUGUUUGCCCCACUGGCUUUGGAUGUUCUCUGCUAAUAUGUUAGUUACCAAAUGUAUUAUGCUCCAACAGUUCCUCUGGAUGGGAAUUUCACUUCUGUUCCUCACAACUGUCAUCGGAGGGGCAACGCAUGUGUCUGAAGGUACCCCUGGAAUCUGCUGAAUCAGACUCCAAGUUUCCUGCUGCAGCAACAUUUCACAAUUCUCCUCUCCCUUGAUGACCUAAAUAUCUCAGUUUUCCGAAACACACAAAUUAGAUCUGUGGUGCAAACAUUGCGCCUGCGUGUGUCUGUGCGGGAUUUGCUCAGGCAGAGCUUUCACCGCUCGCUUAUUUCUCAGAGUAAGAAAAAUAAAGGUCUUUGUACUUAGCCUACGAUGACAGUUUUGCAGCAGGAGAACACUGAACAAGAAAAAUGAAGACUGCAGAAGUGGAAGGAGGAAAUGAAAGUUGCUCUGCCGACAGGGCGACAUGAAUUCAGCAAUGGGUGGAUUAGUCUGAGUGUUAUCAGUGAUGAUGAAACACAGCAGACUGUGGUAAUGAAAUAUUUAUGAAUGGGGAAAUGAUACUGCAUUCUGCAGUGCAGCACAGGGGAAAGUGAAAUUUCAAGAAUACUGUAAUAGCAAAGCCCUCCAUUAAUUAUCGAAAGCAAGCUGUAAUGCCAGUUACUAUGACAACAGGGUCCCCUAUGUAUUUUGUACUAUUGGGCAGGCGGGAGGGGAGAGGUGGGAGAAAGAGGGGGCUGCUCCUAUUUACUGGAGUGCAUUGUAUUUCUUUUUCUGUUGUUGUUGUUGUUAAUUAGGACUAGCCCAGCCUGUGACUGUGCAGUUAAUUUCAAUGAUAAAAUGAUAAAGUGACUACUUUCUAAAAUACAGGGAAAGUCUUUAAUAAGUGGUACUGGUCUUUUUACUCUUUCCAUAUUAAGGGACAUACUAUCAGAAUUAUUAAUAUCCUUAUAUAAUAUUAAUGCAUGGUAAUGUAAUAAUAAAAAGCUAAAUGAUACUAGAAGUAUGAUUAUUAAUAAUAAUUUUGACUGUGUUAGGCUUGCACUCACAGAGCAUUUUAGAAGCAGUGAUUAAUUAAAGUGUCAAUAUUGGCAUACUAAAUCCACCACUGCAUUUCCAGAUGGGGCAAGGGAAUGUGUGACCUCUGCCCACUUAUUUUUAAUUACUACUUAUUUGAUUUCUUAAACCCAUGACUGUCUUUGAGAUUUCCACUUAUCCUCAGCACAGACAAGGGUUUUUCCUUCCCUUACCUCUACUGGAUAGGAGGAAAGCAAGUUAUAGCCCAUGAUGAGGUCCCUGUCAACAUGCCCCAUCAGAGCAGCACAUUUGUGAAAAAUGUAACUAUAAACACUUACUAAAUGGAAUAGGCAUGCUCUGAUGACUGUGGGUGCUGGGAAUGGAUUGGGACAAUGGGCCACGGAUGGUGGCCAGUCUGGCUGGCUCUCACUAGGCAUCACUUGCUGCUGUGGCUGUAAGAGGCAGAACAUUCCUGCAUGGAGCAUUGCUCCGGGUCAGUCAGGCAUUGCUUACAUUUUUGUCCUCUCGUUUUAGUCUUUGCAGUGCAUUUCAUCAGUGUUAUCUAAGGGCUCUACAGAUAAUCUUAGUUUAGCCCCCUUCCAGUGGGCAAAGAGUGCUUCAGGUCCAUUAAAUUCUUGGUCCAAAGUGAUUCAGGUUUCAGCUUCAGGACCUUCCACAGCAUGGAAGGAACUCCUGAUAUUCAGCUCUUCUAGGAGGGAAAGCGUUGCAAAGGCGGGAAGGGAAAAUGGUUGGAAACUUGCAGCAUGAGUGCUGUCUUGCAAGUAGCUAGGUGCAGUACUUCCUGGUGCACAUUUCCUGGUGCACAUUUCCUGGUGCACAUUUCCUAAUCUUACACGAUGAAACAAGCUGGAGGCAGGCGUCUUAGCCCUGUGCACCUGAUUGGGCACAAACGUGACUGAAUGAACAGCAAGUCAAACGUGGUUGCAGCAAGAGGAUUUCUGCAUCACCACUUAAUAUAGGAAGUGCCAUGGAGGUUGUGUUUUUUUUAUAUGUGGGUGUAUGCACAUGCAUAUGUGUGUAUAUGCACUCAUGCAUCCAUAAACAUAGGUUUUAUACUCAUAGAAUGCAACGGACUGUGCACUGCGUGAAAUACUGGCUCAGAGAGGAAGGACUUUGCCUGAUUUUGCUCAUGUUUAGCUUGCUAUAUGAAUAUGGAGGAGAAAUCCAUUUAUUAUUUGUUUAUUGCUGCAAACAUUCCCAUCUUGCCCUCCUUGCGGUUCAGAGCCCUCAGCUCCUCUUUGCUUGGGUGCUUUAUUGCCAUCCUGAUUUCUGCUUGCAGCAAUCACCUGCCUUGAUAUGGCUCAAGACAUGAGCUGGAAAUACUCCAUGCCCUUUAGUAGCCUGUAUUCCCUUUUUUUUAAAAAAAAAACCCAAACCCACAAACCAAAACACAGCACUAUGAGAGUGAUGUGCACACUGUGAGCCAUAAACAAUGGAGUAACAUAAUCCAGGCAAUGAACGGCCUCGGGAAGCCAGCAGGGACAGCGAGGGCUCCGUUUUCACUGUGAUGAGAACUGCCCCAGAGGACCAAUACGGAUGUGAGCUUUCCUCUCCUUGGCUCCAAGGCUAGAGGAAUCCAAUAAAUUGCUCAGACUACAACUCACUUACUUACAAACGGUGUGGGGAAGGACAAGCCUGUUAGGUGUGGGAAAGGAAAGCAGGUUGUAUUGGUUUAACAGUUUCAGAAACUUGACAGAUAGGAAAAGGUUCUGGUAACUCAUUGCUUAGUGUGGAAAAGGCAACAAGUAGCCGUGGGCAUGGGAAAUGUAAUAAUAUUCCUCAAACACAAUAUCUGCCAGAGACAGGUCUGAUGUAUUAAUCCUGCCCCAGAAUGCAGGAAUGGCUGGGCAUUCCCCGUAGCUCUCCCCAUAUCACGAGCUCUGAGUUUAGAUGCAGUGCGAAAGGAUGGCUGCUGGAAAGGGACAUGGAUGGGCUUCAGAGUCACCCAGUGUCAGCAUUCAGAGCCAUGUCUUUUGGAAUAGAGGGUGGGGAGGGCCUUGCAUGGAGGUCUUUUGGGGAGGGCCUUGCAUGCUGCAGGAAAAUCAUUAGUCCCAGGACUAAUUUUACUGUAGAGGAAAUAAUGGCACAAAUUAUUCCUGCUGCAACCUAGAGGGCACUACCUUCAUCUUUGUGCAUUUGAUGACGUCUGUGGGCCCACAGUGGAGAAAGGCUGAACUGAGAUGUUUCCUUUUCCUCUUCUAAAUGGUUUUUGGUUGUCAGUCUUGAGAGUGUUCACAUGCAUGUGUGUGUAAACUUUAGUUCAUUAGUUGUCACACGUAACUCAGGCUAUCAGGUCAUCAGGGGGUUUGCAAAUGUAAUCUGGUGGCCACAUAAACUCUGUCUUCUCUGGGAUGGAAGGUAUCAGCAGAUUAGUACAUCUCUGUGUGGAAAAGACAAAUUCUGUCCCUAAGAUGCAUCAGCCAUCUGAGGUAAACCUUGCCUGACCCUUUGGGUUUGGUAUCCAGCUGCUGCCAGCUACAGUAUAAAUUACCCCAUCUACACAAGGAUUAACCCACGAGCCAAUCUGUGUCAAAAGCCAUCCUUGUUGUCUCAAAGAGGACAGAGUUGAAAGCUGCCAUGCUACAAAGAUUUGCACUAAACCUUGAGGUCAGGCUAAAAUAAAUGUCAAAUGUCUAUAACACAAACAUUUAGAAAGAGCACAGACCAGUGUUUAUGGACAUUUUAUCCUGUUGAAGUGAGAGCCCUGUCACCAAGCUUGGAAAGCAGCCCCAGAACAGCACUAGGAAAAGCAGGAUAUGAGCCUCAGCAAGGGAAGGAGCUGUGCCUGCGCCUGCCCAGUGUGUAGGAGGAGGGAGGGAAAUCAGAAGGGGGAUUAGUUUCUGGUUUCUUCUGCUUCUGACAGCCCCUAAGGUGCUAGGGGGAAAAAAAAAAAAUCUUUGCAUUAUAUAUGUUUGCAUCACUCCAUAAAUAAUGAACAUCAGCAGUCAGAUGGAGCAGGGGCUUCUCUCAGAGGUGUGAAAGCCAUAAGGGAGGAAUCCCGGAGUGGGAUGCCCUGAGUUGCCUGGGUGGCCUCUCUCCCCCAGACGCCAGGUCCUGGUUGCAAUUCAGCACACGCAGGGCCCAGCCCUGCAGCAGGAGCCUGGUUUGUACUGAGGCAGCCAGGGGAGAAACCCCCUCCAUCACCUGACAGGUUUUAUGUUCCAGCUUUGGCUGUUUAUUCUUUCUAGUGCUAUUCUGUUUGGUCACUGCAGGGACUGCUAAGAGACACAGGGGAACAGAGAGCGCUUAGUCAAGGGCAGAAAUAUUUGGAUGCAGUCAACAAUAAAAGGAAUCCCUGAAAAUUAUAGACAUUUUCCAGAGCAGCGAUUUUCUCUGUCUGCAAUGUUUCAUUUGCUCCAUUCUGAAUUACCCUGAAGUGCAAUUAAAAUACUUUAAUGUUUGAAAUCUGGAAAUCCUCAGUCCCACAGUCUUAAUAUCAUUCCUGGCUGUGAAGGAGGAGGGGAGGAGGGAAGGAUUUAUUCUCACCAGGCUGCAGGGGGAUUUACACUAACGGUUUACAUCCACUUCAUUGCAAAUCCUUUCUGAUAAAUCCUUCCCACUCAGUGCCUGUGGGUGAGGAGAGGGCAGAGGUGCUGGUGGAACCGGCAUUUCCCCUGCCUCCAAAUGAGCAGGGCAGCUGUGGCACCCUCCCUCCACAGCUCCAGGCCCACCAGGCACUCUGUGCCCUGCUUUCAGCAAACCUGGAAUAAUUUUAUAUCAACUCCUGUGGGAGGAGGUAUAAAGCUAAGGCUGCAGUUCUGCCUCUGAAAGUUCUUUUUUUUUCCUUCUUCCAUAAGCAGGUAAGACCUGACAUCUGAAUGCAGAUUGAGGAUGGAGCCAAGGCAUGGGUUUUGGUGUAGUUCCACAAGUGACAACCAGAGGCAAUAUAUCAAAGUGCUGUACUUCUCUGUCAAAAAAUACUGUAAAGCUACAAUGCAUAAGGUGGCUUUGACCAUGAAGGAAGGAAGGAAGUAAGGAAGGAAAGCCAGUUUGUUUUUCCUGUGGCUCAUCCCUGGCCCUCUUGGACUUUAGCUGCUCCCUACAGCUGCCCGUGGAGUGUGUGCUUGUGGGUGAGCACUACAGAGAGAGAAGCACUUGCUAAGCUGAGAGGACUCGGCAUUGCUAAGCAAACAUUUAGAUGAGUGAUAUCAGACUGUUCUUAAAGAGCAUGUCCUUAAUUUAAGACUCAGCAUCCAGGCUGAGCCAAUUCACAUGUGCUGGGAGAAGUCUGCUUGGAUGAGUGAUGGGAGCUGCUGGUACCUGGAGCGUAGCCUGCCAAGUGAGAGAGGCUACAAGUCAUCAUCUGAGUACUUUGGAGCAAUGUCCUUUAUGAUCCUCUGAUUCAUGUGCAAGGAGCAUCACAUAACUCAGGGACACUUACAAAGCCCAGUGGUGCCAUCCUUCAAAGUUUCACUACAGCAACUUCAGGACUGACUCCAGGCAACUCUAGGCAACUCUCUAACUCAGGGCCCAGCUGAACAAGGCCUCGGCUCCCUGCACUUCUGUUUAGCCAACACACUUACUGCUGCAAGACAAGGAGGAGCUGAGGAGCAGUUUUCCUGCCGAGGAAAAUUCAUGGCACAGAAGUGUAAUCAACACUGAGCAGCAAAGAAGAGGGAAGAAGAAGAAACCUACAUUUGAUGGGUUUGCCUCUAAAGCUAGUCACAGUUUUCUACUGUUGCUGCCAGUUUUUCCUGGUGUGUCUGCCAAAGCCUUGCCUACCUGUCACUCUUGACUGUCAGAUGCAGGUGAGGUAAAAUGAGUGAGGGUGGCCUAUUCCGUGUCUGCUAAUUAGAGGAGGAUCAGAUAAUACACCUGUAAUUUCUGAGAAAGCCUAGACCUUUGGGCUUUUUCACAGCAGACAUGGGUGUACCAGUGUGGGAUCCCAUACCAGCAGCUGUGUGUACCCAGCUAGACCUCAAACCAGCAGCUCCAGUCCAGCAGCAAACUGUGAGCACUCUUAAUGUGCCAGCAGUCUUAUGAGAUGUGUCUGAUGGUGAUUUAAAACACCUGAAAGGUUUGACACAAAAGUGGGCAAGAAAUUAUCCUGUGAUUCACCAACAGCAGAGUUGUAAGUGAGCUGCAGCACCUGGAGGAUUAAAAAAUGCUUUCAGGUUGAAGGAUUGAAACCACCUGAGGUUGGAGCCUUACUGCUCUUCAAUAGGCAAAUGAGAUGUUUCAUGAGGAAUUUCCUUUCUGUGACUAUGAAAUGAGUGCAUCUUCCAGCAGCAUCUUCUGCAGCAUCAGGUGUCUCUCUCCAGAGGAGGAACAAAGCAGGGAGCCAGAUGAAUUCACACAGUCCUGUGAAGAUGAGAAUUUUCUGGGACUUUGGAGCUGGCAUGGCUGAGAGAGCUGAAGGCAUCAGAUGAGUGUAUCAGAACACACAAAUACUUGAUAUCACUGCAUCAAGGUAAGCCAUGCAACUUUUGAUUCAUAACUUCGUUGGUCUCUUCUUGCAAAUGAAGACAAAAUAAAAGACACGGCCUUCUCAAACCGUUGCAAGGUAUUUUUAAAUCAGGGCGAAUUAGAGUUCUGAAUUCCAUCAUUCCCAACAGAGUUCAUAACAGGCCUCCUCCAAAGAUGCACAUCUCAGUAGUGUCUUGAUGCACUGAUAACUGAUAAUGAACACCUCCUGGCUUUUGGGAUUCACCAAUGUCCUUUACAAGCCCUUCAAUGUUUCUUUAUCUUCUCAUUAUACAGGCCAUUCCUCUCUCCUGAGAGCAGGUAAAGGGGGUUACAUUAUGCUGCUUUUGUCAAACGCAUGACAGAGAGUAUGAGAAAAUGUCAGUCAUUUUGGUUCUGUCUUUGGGGCCCUGAGGAAGUUCUGUCUCUCAAGAAAUUUCCUGUUUUGUUAACUCAGAUGUAUUUGGCAAACUUAGAGCUUGAUACUCUGUAGCGCAGUGGAAAAUGAAAUUACCUUUUAUUCUCUUGAAGCCACUUUUGAAGGGAUAUUUUGCAUGGCAUGACUUUACCAGUUCGGAUAAUCCACUUUACCAGUAUUCCUGUCCCUGGUACUUGGCCCUGGAUAAGUCAUACUAGAUGUCCUUGGGAAGGUGGGUGUCCCAGGGCUAUGCUGUAUCCCUGGGGCAGUUCUGGGGAAGCCCAUUUGGUCCCUCUGCUCCCUGUCCCCCUUCACCAGUGCAGCUAAACCAGCAGCUCGAGGCUUAGCCCUGACAGAACUCCUGGUCCCAGCCCAGUGCUCUCAACCCCUGGCCUGGCACAGGGAAUCUCAGACAGACUUUGUCUCUUCACAUCUGGGAGACCAGGGAGUCUCCCAGCCCUAGCUUUCCUCCACCACAGUGCCUUCUCCUUUGAGGAGCAGCUGCAUGGAUCUUCAGUGGCUGUGAAGGCAUGGCAGAAACUCCCAGGAGAAUUAAGUUCUCCUUUUUGAUGGCAUUCCUAAUCUGGCCAAGUAGCUCACUGCUCUGGAAAGGACAGCUGUCUCCUGCCCCUUCCCCUUGGGCUUUUCUGCUUUUCUGCUUUUCUGCUGCUUUUCUGCCAGCUCCUUUGCAUUGAUUGAUCCAUGAUGCAACCACUCAUGGGAUGGAGUGAUAGCAAACACACCCCCAUGCCCCUGGAAAGAUUAAUUUUCCAGUUGUGUUAUCCCUGUGCAACUGCACAGUCUCUGGGCUCAGUGCAAGGCGAUGGAAGACACAAGGGAGAGAGUGGGACUCUAAAACAGCCCACAGAGGGCUGCUGAUCCUACUGAACACCAGCUGGACAUUUGCUCUCCUCUGAUUUAUGCACUUGGGAAGGUCCUCACCUGGAGCCAGCUUUCCCCAAGGUCAUCUCAGAUAGGGAGGAGCAUCCCAGGGGAGUCUUGUUAGCUGAUCUAGGAGCUGCUCUUCCCUGUUGGGGCUGGGAGCAGGGAGAAACCAACACAGUCCCUCUGCAGUGCAAGGGGAGCACUCACAGCUACAGGAUCUCCCACAGAAAUGCUGCUCUCUGCCUAGACAUCACUCCUGUUCCCAUCCCCAGGAGCACAGGCUGGUUAAGGCGCAUCUACUGACAGUACAGUAUUGCUACGUCAGUGUGACAAGUACAGAGCUCUUGUGUACUAAAUAUUAGUACUACAUAUGGAUUUGACCAAUCUGGGUGGGUUAGGAGUCAUAGAAUUGCAAAAGAAGUCACUGGAAUGUCCCUUGUCACUGGAUGGCAUCCAAAGGGCUUAAACGAGAGGCAGAAGAAGGUAAGAGAAGGAAAAACAGCCUCCAGUGGAGGAGGUGAGAGUUCAGGUGGCAGUGACGGGAUAGGUUUUCCCUUAGGGAAAAGCAGUUCAGGAUAUUUCCUUCCUGCUGGCACCUGUCCUGCAGUGCCUCAGCACUUCUCUCCAGCCAGGCUGGAAACCCAACCACUGAAUUACCUGCAUGACAAGAAAACAAAACCCUACAAACCUGCAAUGCCACAGGCACUGCUGCACAGCAGCAGAGUCCUUGGAGUGCUGACAAACAUCCUGGGCCACUAACAUCUCAUGGACAGGCAUCCAUGGCCACUAACAUCUCAUGGACAGGCAUCCAUGGCCACUAACAUCUCAUGCCACCAUGUCCCUGGGUCCAGAGCCUGGGCUUAGGGCAGUUGCUUGGAGCAUCAGCUGGUUGUGUGUUUGAUCCCUGUACAGGCCACUCACUAAACAGCUGGACUUGAUGAUCCUUGUGGGUCCCUUCCAACUCUGUUCUGUGAGUUAUCUGGUGCCAGAUCCUUCAGAGCCUUCCUGCUGAGUUUGGUGAACCCAAAGCUCCUCUUGCGUGCAAAGAAUUUGCAGGAUCUAGCACGCAGUUUGAACUCAGGUGCUGGAUGAGGGAUCAACAUUAUUAAAUUUUGGCCUAUAACUCUAUGAAAGCUCUUAAAAAAUAUCUUUCACCUGCAGGGCACUGAUGCUUCAGUCCCUUGAUGCUGAGGCCUGCCUGUUUUGGGAUGUCAGGGACCUGUGCUCCCCCAGGCACACACCUGGGGACAGCAGCAGCCACUGCAAUUGGUAGGAGAAAAUCUUGGUUUGAGCCUCCAGUUCCCACCCCUACUAUACAAUUUAAUGUUUUGUUCUGACUUAAGACAUUAUUGCAUAAAUGCUCUACCUCUGCCCUAAGGGGGUGUUUUAGAGUGUUUUGAUUCCUUUAUGUUGUUUUCUUUUCAUUCUGUAUGUCAAACUGAGCAGCUGAGAGCCUAAUGCAGAUGCUAGGAAGAUGGAAAGGUCCCAGCAUCACCAUGACACAACUCUCCCUGCAGCAGAAAGUGGCUGAGAAGGUGAAUUUUGUGUGGAGAGAAGCAGGAAUAUUCUGUAUUUUCAGCAAGAAAUCUCAAGCAAGACUGCAAUGACAAGGGCCUGAGGCAUACAGCAAAAACAUCAGUGGUAGAUCUCAAUGAAAACAGGCAUCAGCCCCAUGCUUUACUUGGGGAAUCAUUUUCCAGCCCCACUCAGAGUAAAUUUUCCCCUUUUCUCUACCCCUCAACAAAUAUGCUAACCCUAUUCCCGGCCUCCAAGUAACCAACUCAGCCUCUCAACAAUAAAAGACUCUCUAUGCCUGACUAUUUUUGCCACCCUCAGGAUGCUGUGGCAGUCCCUGUCCAUCCCCACACCAAAGAUAGCUCUGAGCUUUUUCCUUCUCUCCCUCAGCCCUAACCACUGACUUCUCAAUCCUGGCCAGUGACUGACUCCUAAGACAGAGUCCCCACUGCCCAGAUACUCAGUAUUCCUCAGAGAUGGAUUCUGCUAUUAGCUUUCAGUUUCCUUGGGCAGUUUCUUUCAGCCCCACUACACAUGUCCAGUGGGCUGGAGGUUUCAGCUUUUCCUUUCCAUCAGCCCUCACCCUAGCCUGACACUCAGCAGAAGGUGCUGCUUGCAGCUUCCAUUCUCUUUCAGUGUGCUCCUCCUAGCCCCUAUCUCACCAUAGCCAUGGGCUUUCUCUUCUCCUGUCCUUUAGGGAGCAUCCCUGCAUUCCUGGAGACAGAAUUCCAGGUGUGGCCUCACCAGUGCUAAGCAAAGAAGGGCCAUGUCCCUUCACUCAAUGGAAACUCUUCCUAACACAGCUCCCUACUGUUAGUUGAAGUUUCUGCCUUUCCUUUGGCAGAUCCUUUCCAGCCCUUUUCCAGCUGUAACUCUGCAGAGAUGGGAUUUAUUCAGCCUCAAUCAGAAAAGGCAGAAGGAGAACUUCAUUGCUGUUUGCAGCUGUCCAAUGAGAGGGUGUAGAGAAGAUGGAGCCAGGCUCUUCCCAGAGGCACAAAGUGACAGGACAAGAGGCCACAAGAUGCCAUCUGGGACUUGGAAAACUCCAGAUAGAUCUUAAGGGAGCAAGCAUCACAACAAGGUUGGUUAAACACUGGAAGACAUGUCCAGGGAACCAUCAGGCUCUCCGUCCUCAAAGAUGCUAAAAAUUCAGCUUGCUGAAGCUCUGAGUAGCCUGACCUGGUUUUAAAGCUGUCUGAGCUUGAGCAGGGAGGUUGGGCCAGAGGCCAACCAGAGAUCCCUUUCUACCUGAGUUACUGUCCAAUCCUGCUCCUGUGAAACUCAGCCUUUGUAAAUUCGGAGCCUAAUCUGAUAACCUUGAUGAGAGGAAGGUGUUAUGUCUUUAGAAGUAGAUUUAGACUUUGUAAAGCCUACUCUGCUUUGGGCAGCAGUUUCAUGGGACCAACACACAGCUUCCCAGCACCUAUGGACAGUAGGAAAUAAUUGUAGCUGACCAAAAAUUUCCUUCACAUUGAUUUUCAGGAUUAGGACAGAUGUCCAAAUUUAUGCCUUGCCUAUCCUGUGCAGUUUAAAGGAAAUUGGGAACUCGGGCCCUUUAGAAAGACUCUGGAGUGGUAAUGGCAAGGGGAAGGAAUUUAAUGCCUGGAGGUGAAAGUUGGGAAAGUCCCAAAUGACUCAGUUUCUGCUGCCCUUUUCACUGAGUGAAGAGCAAAAGCCCUUCCUGUGUUCACCUCCUCUUCUCUCACCCAUAAACGAAUUAAAAUCUCCUCAAUAUUGCCCAUUUUGACUGGAAGCAUUGGAUAGCUGCUUCCUCAAAUUUUUCUGCCUGCAAUAGACUUGACAUUGUCACUGACAUUUUAUCCCUUUUACAAAGUGGCUCCAGAGUGCCUCAGCAUCGGGAGUUUUUCCUCCUUUUCUCCCCUUUCUUUUCCUCUUCCCUGCCUAAAAAGCUGUUGGAAAGCAAAGGAGGGAUUAAAAGGAGAGAUCCUCACUGUGGCAGCAGGGAGGGGCUGCUGCCCCUGGCUCAGUGCAGUGUUAGAUUAGGGCAGACUCACUCUGGCAUCGUGGUGAGCUCCAACAGCUCACUCAGAUAUUUCCCCAGAGAGGAAAGCCUUUGCUUUCCCUCUGAAUCCAUCCAUCACCAGGCAGAGCACACUCAUCAAAAGUGUGGAAUCUGGCAUAGCUGCAGGAUCAUUAUAAGGGUUUAAAAGAGAACAUUUCACCACCCUAUAUAUCUUGUCAGACAACACCUGACAGGUCAGCUGGGGAAGGGACUGCACUUCCCAGCUGAAGCACUGGCUUGAGAAAGUGUCAUCUACAGGCACAGGUCAGCUCAAUCCAAUCCCCCUGAGCUGGGAAACCCAGAAACCCAGAGCUAACAUAGCAUUUACAGCAUCUGCCCAAGUUUCUGUGGUUUAUGUCUCUGUCAUAACAGUGGUGACCCUGUUAUAUGUGCAUGUGACUUUGUCCAGUCCUUAUCUCAAUCCACUCAUCCUGCUGGUGCUAAAGGCAAUGAGAUCCACAGUGCGGUGAAGCUUAUCCCAUGAAAAUAGAUAUUUAUGAAUAAUAAAAAUUAAAACUGUUCAGAAACUUUGAAGAUACUGAAAUUGAGAUGUUUAGUUAAGGCAAGGAAAAUUCUGUAUACUCCCAUUUCGUUUUUGCCAAAAAAAGAAAAACAAAAAGAAAAACAAAACCACAAAUGUUAGAAAAUCAGGAAUAUCUCCUUUUCAGCAAUAAAGCCCUAGAGAGUUAAUGUUAUCAAGCAAACUGGAAGUAAAACCAAAUUCCACAUUACUUACAAUGCACUGUUUCUAUCAAUACACAGCUGAGAUUAAUUCAGGUGUGCCUGGUUUCAGUGUAGCCUGUACUUUGUUCUGCUGUCAAUGCUUUCUCAAAGUAGCAGGCCAAAGUUAAAAAUCAGAUUGCAGGCUGUUUGAGUUGUCUGUUGAAGCUAAUUCAUCACAGUAAAAAAAUGGUUAUGAAGUAUUAGCAGCUACUGCAGCUUCCCUCACUUUCUCUUUCUUUCUUUUAUUGCCUGCAUAAAGAAGACCAAUUGCUGUCAAUAGCCAAAAAAACCCAAAAAACACAACUUGUUUUCUAUGACAUUAAACAAAUUCUCUCACUACCACAGCAUAUAAAUGCCUUGAAGGUGAGAGAGAGUGAAAAAGAAGAAGAAGAAGAAGAAGAAAGAAAAAAAAACCUAAGAAGGAAAGCAACCUCUAGGGAAGGUUCUACAGGGAAAGUGAAACCAGUAACAGAAAAGAGGGGAUGAGAGAUGGUGAGAAAGGCUGUUCCUGAGUCGGUGUCCCAGCCCCAGCACCCAUGCACUCACCUGGACCCCUGCCCACACCACGGGUGGCACCACAGCUUCCUUCAGCCAUGCGUGGUGUCACUCUCCUUUGCCUCCAGAACAACAGAGGGCCCUGGUAUUGCGCUGUUUUCUCACUAAUUUCAUUUCCAACAGCACCAAGAAAACUCAUACCCAGGGAUGUGGUGGAGCCAAAGACAUCAAAACUAUUCUCUCUUAAGCUUUCAGAGUAGAGGCUGGAAGCAGGUAAUAGAGAAGCAUCCUCUUUAUUCCCCAUGUCUUUAAAUGUAAGAAGGAAUGGUCUUGCUGAGGAUUUUGUCAUAGGGUACAUGAUGGAGAGGGGGAGAGAGGAGGGCGUAGGAGUUUUGAAAGUAGCAAGGGAGAAAUAUGCAAAGAUUUUUGGAGCUUCCUGUCCAAAACUGGUUUAAACUUCUAUUUCAUCACUUUGAAAAUCAGCAGUGUUGGGCUUGAUGCAUCCUCUGGAAGCAAUUGUCAUUGGGACAUCCCCUGGAAUGCAGACAACAAGCACAGUGGGACUGCAGCACUCUAUGCAUUUAUAGACAAGGGCCUAGCAUGGCAUGGUGCCACAGAAACUAAUUAUACCCAGUGUUCAUGAAGUGAUGAGAAGAGGUAGAAGUAUAAUUAUCAGUUUUCCAGCAUGGCUGCUGUAUGCAGUAAGUAUGGCAGAGUUGACAUCUUAGUGGAGGCAAAUGAGUAAAAUAUCUUUUUAUUUCACCAGUACAAUUUUUUAACUUUUACUACUGUUUGAAAUCCUGAUGUUCUCAGCAGAAGUGAUGGCCUGGAAAAUUUUUCUUCUGCCUGAUUUUUUCCCUAAUCAUCUGUGGACAAUUAAUUGCCACCUAUUAGCAUCCCAGCCCUUGUUAAAAUAGGCCUCCUUUUUUUUUUGUUUUUUUUUUCUAACCAGAGUUAUAAGAAAAGAUCAUUUCAGCAUAGUGUGGUGGACUUGUCAUAAACAUUUAAGAUGUGCCAAAGUGUCAUAUUUUCUAGGCAGUAUAAUAGCAUUCCAUUUAUUGUUUCCCAAGGACUAAACAUGGAAAUGAAUGGCUUUAUGAAGAAGGUAGUCUUCUAGUGAAAUUGCUUGAUUCCAUUCUUCCACCAUCAGGCUCCUCAGCAAAAUAAUUUCCCUUUAAUUAAGCUAUAUGAUGUAAAUAUCAUGGCAAUUGAUUUAAUAAAAAUAUAUGAUGCAAAAUAACAUGAGGAAAAACACCUUAAAGAAAAGCAGAAGGAUUCCCUGAGCAGAGCAGGUAAUGGGAAAACUACUGGAAAUGAGGUAAGAAAAACAAUAAAAGGGAAGCUUUUAUAGAUUUUUUUCACCAUUUCUCUUUUUGUAACAGUUGGAUGGAUGUAUCCCUUGCUACCUUCCUCAUUUUCUACUGUAAAAGAUGUCUGAGAAGCUGUAAUUUUUUCUCUCUUCUACCCAAUUAUUAAUCUAUUUUUUAAAUUAAUAAUACAACCAGUUCUGAUGUUAAUGUGUUCUGGAGUAAGUACACAUACUUUUCUGACCUACUUUUUAAUCUAUGUAUUUGCCUUUCAAGUGAGAGAGGUUUUCUGUCUCUUGUCCAAACCCUCGUGCUAAUACCCUUGUGCCCUGUUGCACAAGUGCUACUGCUAAUGUUUAUGUUCUGGAAAACCAGUGGGACAAUGUAAAGGCAAAAUAUCCUCUGCCUGCACUCACUUCAAAUCCUGUUUGUUUACAGUGUGGAGGUGGCAAGGACAUCCAGCUGUGAACAUUCAUAACACAGUAUGGUGCAAUAUUUUGGGACAUCCUUAGGAAAAUGUAUCUCUCUGUAGCCCAUCUUUUCUCUCUGUCCUGGCCUCCCCAGGAGCCAUGGAAAGGCAGCUUCCUGGCUGUCAUUUACCGUCAUCCAUCCCUUUAUGGUGCAGAUGAUCCCCAGAAGUUACUGCUGCAGAAAGCAGGAUUUCCAUCCGUGCUAUCUCUGCCCAGGGAUGUUGACGGGAGGAAAGCUGUUAAGUGGUCCAUAUGGACCAGCUGGACAGAGGAUAUGGAGUCACAGCUAAAUGAUAAACUCUUGGAAAUUACUGAAAAGUUGCAAGAACAUGAGAAAGACUGCAAGGAGAGGGAAGGUACCCAGAGAGUGCUGUGAAAAUGUUGAGAGUAGCAAAGCUUGGGCAAACUUUGGCAGCCCAGAUCCAGAAAAACUUGAUUUUCACAUGGGUGCUUGACUCUUCUUGAGAGCACUGCUAGCUGGAUAAGAGCUCUUAUGGUUUCAAGGACUCAACAUGUGUCUGAGGUAGCAUCAGGCAGUCUGAUUUUAGUGUGAUUAGUUGCAGCUCUCAUGUCUGCAAAAUUAGCCCAACAGCCUCAUAAGAACAAUUGUUUUGGAAAGAGAUAGGAUUUUUUCCCAACUUUUCUUUAAGGCAAAAAAUCUUUGGAUGUCAUUCUGUGGAUAUUGCUUGUUUUGACCUCAGCCAGCAUCAGAAAAAAAUAAGCUCAAAUACAAAAUGUUUUCUUUUGGUUUUAGGAUUAAAUUAAGGGGUUUUUUUAGGACUCCUUUAGAAACAGAAAUACAUCUCAACUCAGGCUGGGGCCAGAGCUUCAGAUUCAGAUCUUAUUUUAGUUUAAUUUUCUUUACUGAACCAAACCAUCAGUCUUUCCUGGCAGGCAGUCUACCCCAACUAGAAUAUUUUCCAUAGUGAGUUCCAGAUAGCCAGCAUACUAAUGUCUGCCUUUAAAUAAAGAAGAAAUACCCUGAUGCAUUCAAUCAAAACAGCAAACAGUGAUUUCCAACCAGCCUUUUCCACAGAAGACUAAACCAAGGGGAGAAGCAAUCAUUGCUUUCUGAAAUCAGCCAUGUCAGCCCUUGACACAAAGGAGGUUGGUGAAGAAAGGUUAGCUCUGGUGUCACCGUGCCAUUAGGUCUGAACGCCUCUGAGAGAUCUCUAGUACAGCCUGCCAUUCACAGACCCCCAAGGAUUUCUUUUUUAAAUGAAAGGUUGCAAAAAUCUCAUUCCCUAUUCCAGCGCUGCACACACAACAUGUUCCCCUUCCCCCCAUCCGUCACAAGCAGCUAAUGGGAAUCAGGUCCUUAAUGGAGGACAAUGGCAAUUCUGCACAGGUGGGAAGGCAUAAAAUAUUUGCCAGCCAACCAGUCUUGAUUCAUGGCCAAUGAAAUAUUAAUACAUGACCUUCAUAAUUUUCCCUUUCCAUUAAAAACCUCAGGACACUGGAAAUAAAGUGUUUAAAAACACUUCUGCUUCCUGGUAAUCAGUGUUUCAAAGGUAAAUAAAAAUAUAUCUGUGCUCCUUGAAUUUGUGAUCAGAAAGCCUCCUCCAGAGUGAGUCCAGCCUUAUUUACCACUGUUCUUUUUAAAGGAUUUUGAAUGCAACUGAAUGUGAGAGAUACAUAACUGCAUAUCCAACCAACACUUGCCUCUGAAGAGGAAGAGAUAAAAGGUUCUUUCUUCAGCCACACCAUUCCUAGAUUUUUUACCCAACAGUAUUCAAGAAAGCUGUGUAUGGUCUAAAAGACUGGAGCUACCCAUAACACAAAGGUGGGUUGAAUGAAAAACUCAGCAAAUGUUCUGUCUUCUCCUGAAUGUUGCUGUAUGUCAAAGGGUGGAAAGAUAGCUGGUUUAGCAGGAAUGUUGAUUUAUUUUGUAGGGUGGGAAGAUAGCUCUUUUAACCAGGAAUGUAAGCCUUGUCUCUUUUGUAUGAAUGUAAGUUGUGUCUCUUCAACUGAUGCUCGCUAUCAAGAAUAUUUGUAUGCACAAAGCUACCUUAGUGCUCAAAGACAACUUCUCUUCACCACUGUCACCAAUACCACAGAUGACUGAACUGGUUUACAACCAGAAUAAAUCUUACCUCAUGCAUUCUUUUUCCAUGUGGAUGAAGGUAGCUAUCUAGAAGAAAAAGGAAAUACAGCUUGGGGGCUAGAAACACAAACCACAAAUGCCAGAGGUGCAUCACUAGUUGCACCACAAGCUUUGGUAAGUAACCUUAUUUCCUUGUCUAAACAGACCCCCAACUCCUCUGUAGCUGCUGGACUCAGAAUUGCUUAUUGCAUCAUGGCUUUGUGUCUGUGAUGUGUGGGGAAAUCCUGAAGCAGCUACAGUAAGCAGGAGAUUCUGACUCUUGGCUGGAAUUUUACCCCAAGCCAUCUUUACUUUUCCACUAAUGUGUAAUUGUUUCUUAAGAGUUAGAAGACACCUGUGCUCACCUGAGGAUAGCAUACAAAUGCUUGACUGUAGUAGUAGUAGUAGUCAUGCAGUGUUAGAGAUGAAGUGCUGUUAAGAGUUGAUAUUUGCUUCAUAUGUGUUAAGCCUGCAGAAGAGAAGACUUGAGGCAGAAAAUUACCACAAAAAUGGAGAUUUUUUUUUUCAGUGCACAGAAAUGCUUUGAGUUGCUUUAAUUUUAAAUCAAUUACAAUUAUAAAGUCAUAAUUUUAAUCACUUUCUUUUCCUUCUUUUUUUCCAGGAUAGUAAUAUUGUUACCCUCUUUUCUGAACCAGGUUAUCCUGCUAUUACAUAGACUGCCCUAUGGUUUUGUGUCACUGUGCAUCAAAACCAACCAUGGACCGGAAAAUAAAAUCAGAAGGGUGUGAAGGGAGGAAGUGCUGUAGGAAGAAAGAGGUCUAUAACAACACCUGACUAAGCAUCAAAUGUCAUCUCAGUCAUCAAUGCAAGGAGGAAGAUCUCUGGAGCUUCUUUUCCAAGCAGUUCAAAGUCCUUUCUUGCUGCUGUCUCUGCAAGGAGCACAGGACAGAUGUGUCACUGCUUGGGACAAUACAGCUUGUGCCUGCAGUGCUCAGGGCUGUGCCCUUGCCCUGGAGUGGUCAGGACACUCACUCCAAAGUCCUCUCACUAGGCAGCCCCAGUGACUGAGAGACAUAAAGAUCAGUGCUAUGUAUGGGGGUGGGGGUUAAUCCAAAGUGCUGUAAGUGCCAGAGGUGGCUGUGUCACAUACACCUCAGCGGUGCCUGUGUGAUGGGCAUGAGAUUGGUCCCCCAGGACAAGGCAGGAGGCUUCAGGGCCUGCUGAGGACACUGCUUGGCUUGUCCUGGGAGAGAAGAGCUGAAUAUGAUGACAUCUGUGGCCACAAGUCUGUGUGUGCUGUUCCCCCAUCACUCAUGCUCAGAUUUCCUCUGGGAGGGAGAUGAUUGAUUUACUCCAGAAGGAAUGAACUACCACACAGGCACUGCAGAAAGCAAGGGAAAAAGCUGAGGAGAGAGUAAAGAUAAUCCCAGCUCAAAUCUUUAAUUUUAUCCUGGGUAGAAAUCCCCACAAUAAAACAGAGCAUUGGUCUCUACACUUACUCUGACUCUGGACACACAAACAGCUCUUAAAAAUAUAAAUUGUCUCCUCUGAUUGCAUGCCCAAGUGAUGGGUCCCUGCAGAAGGAGAGAGCCAAGCCUAAGGGCCCAGUCCAGUCAUGUCAACACCAGUGUUUAUUUCCUUCAUCUCACCAGAAGUGGGAACAGGCUUGUCUAUUGAUGCUUUAGGCCUUACACCUUUUCCUACUCUGAAAAGACAUGGAUCACUGCAGAAAUCUGCUGCAUUCUGCCUCUGGACUGUGGGGAAUGGGGUAAUAUGGGGCAAUAUGGGGAAUGGGGCCUGAUAUUUGCACACCCCGUCCCUGCAGCUAAGUCUGAUACCAGGGCACUAAUCUUUGCAGUAAAAGAGCAUGUAAAGGAGGAAGGGCCCUUGCCAACCUUUCUCUUCUCUGUAGCUGUAUCACUGCUGUAGCACUCAGCAGAAUGCUGGGUUCAUGAAGGUUUCCCAGACCUUCAAACCCUGAUCACCGCUGUAAGUCAGGAAACCAAUCUGUGUUGGAAAAGAGCUCAAAGAUAAUUUUCUCUUCUCAACACAAAUCCUCUCACUAUGUCUUUGGGCUUUGCAUAUUGCAAGAAGGAGUUGUGCCUCUGGUACUUUAUACUUUCCAAACUGUAACUAUAAUCCCAACACAAACCCUAAUGUUAUUUAUAUAGAGGAGAUAACCUCCCUCCCUAAAGGAGCACGUUAUUUUACCUCUGCUCACACCAGCUGUCCUUACAUUAUUGAAAGCCCUACAAUGAUGAAUUAAAGUAAAACUACAGGAUCCAAGCCCACCCUAUCCUCUAUUGGCCUGCCAAUAGCCAAGGUACCAUUCCCUGUGGGAAAAGAGAAACUAUGGCCUUGAUCACAGCACUACCAGGAUUUUUUUCUGGGAUUCUGUGUUGUCUAGAAUCAAAUUGGCCCUUUGAAAGUGUUGCUGGCCUCACCCUAAUUCCAAUCCCAAGUGGCAAGAGUACCACAAUAAAAAUGAAAAUAAGGAAUUGGUCCCUGAUUCCAUCUCUCUGCCUGAUUUUAGGGAUUCUGUAGUAUCCUAAAGGAAGUUGAGCAUUAGAAUGUUACCAUAUUGCCAUAAACACAAAUAUUAUUAACACAAUAUUACCAUAAACACAAAUCCCACCUCUGUCCUCCUUGUACCUCAAGAGGUAAUGACCUCAGUGAAGGAGAAUGUGACACCUACAAACAUCAUUCUUCUUCCUAAAGCUCUGGGUUCUGAUGGUCUCCACAGUAAGUUGGCCUCUUACGGCCAUUGUAGGCAUGCUCCUUGUGGAUGGCGCCAGGGAGUGAUCCUGGGGCAAGCGGGUAAUUCCUGAUCACUCAAAUCCAUCAGGCUCUAGAUUGACCCCAGAAUCCCUUCAUAGCAGCUGCAACAUUUAAAAAAAAAGAUGCUCAGACACGUGUGCAUGCAUAUGUACACAUUUGUGGUGUUUUUCCUGUUCAAAAUGAACAUAUUAAUGACAGAGCUUUUUUGUUUUUUCCAGCCUUCAGAGAAUUGGUUUGAGUUCUUUUUGUAAAAGAAAAAGAAAAUGUAUGCCACUCCCUAUCCCUAAAAAGAAAGGUUUAGAGAGCAAAAUCUGCUGAAUUAAGAGUUUAAGGAGUGUCUCUUUUGGAGGCAGCAAGAGAUUUUUCUUUCAGAGUGCCCUCUCUUCGCAGACCAGGAAGAUGCUGUUCCCUCGAGGUGCCUGAGUUUCCUCUUGGAUGUUCACUCCCAAAGGGAGCUAACAUGAAUCCAGGAUGUGUAAUCACUGCAGCUGGGUAAAAGAAGGAGUGACCCAAUUUGCCAGUACAGACACAUUAGGCAGCUUCUGCCUUAAUUACCUACUGGGUGUCUCAGGUUAGAUGAUGUGACAAUUUCCCAGUGAUAACAAUUAUCCUUCUGGACUGUGAUUCACUUUUUGGUGGGUUUGUCAAGGCCUCUUGGAUAAAAUAUGCAUGAGCACAUCUUGCCCAUCCUCCACAGCCAGGCCCUUAGCACAGGUUAGCAGGCAUCCUGGCACAGAUGGCAGCACUGGGAAUGUUUUCCAUCCCUGCUGCAGCAACGCAGAGGUGGAGAGCUCUCUUGCAAGAGCCCAUUAGGCUUAUUCUUGGUCCACUUUCUUGACCUGAUUUCAUCUAUAUUUUACUGGAAAAGUGUACAAAACAAGCACAGGGCUAAAGCACCACCUUUUAAAAAAUUGAGAGAUGCAGACAGACAAAAUCAUGAAUGCUGUGGGGUUUUUUUGUUUUUGAGUAUUUUUUGUUGUUGUUGUUUGUUUUGUUUUUUGGGUUUGUCGUUUUAGUUUUGGUGGGUUUUUUUGCUUUGUCUAAUUUCUGAAGCUGCCUUCAGCCACUUCUGUAAGAAAACUGUUAUUAGUUUUAGUAGUAUUACAGUAGCAAUCAGCUAAUGACUUUCAGGAAAUAGUUACAGAGAUACCCAUUUGUCUAUGUGUAUGUACACAUAUAUGCCAUUUAUAUAAAACAUUCUGUCCUCACCUGUAGCCAGUUAGUGUCAGAAGACUGUUUGGAUUGUUUGUAAACUCACUUGUACUUGGUGCUAGCAUUGAUUCCUUGGCUGAAUUAUUUUGCAAUAGGAUAAACCCCCUAAUUGUGCAUCUAAAUAAAAUUAAAUUUUAACGAC